ensembl:snRNA U1 U1 spliceosomal RNA
AAACUAGCCAGUAUUCAGGGGAGAUACCAUGAUCACAAAGGUGGUUUUCCUGAGGCCAAACUUAUCCAUUGCAUCCCAGAUGUGAUGACUCCUUUGAUUUACCCAAAUGUGGGAAACUUGACUGCAUAAUUUGUGGUACUGGGGGACUGUGUUUACACACUCCCCUG